CGCUCCUCGCACCGACCUCAGCGGGCCGGCAGCCCCUGCGGGGCGCGCAUCACUAGGGGGGCGGCCGCCUCAGCUCCGUAUCCCGCUCAGCUCCGUAUCCCGGCUGCGCGCUGUAUCCCCGGCUCGGCUCGGCUCGGCUCGGCUCGGCUCGGCUCGGCUCGGCUCGGCUCGGCUCGGCUCGGCUCGGCCCCGUCCCGCCCCGGCGCUCCCAGCCCUGCCCUGCCCCGCUCACGGCCCCGCGGCGCUUCCGCCCGGCACUGCUUCCGGCCGCCCCGCCCCGGCGGCCUCGCUGAUUGGCUCCUGGCCCUGCCCAUCACCGCUGCCCCGCCCACAGGGGGACGCCGGGGGGAAGCGGGCGGCCGUGCCACCCUCCGCUGAGCGAGGGUUGGUGUGUUCCGGGCGCCCCCCCCCCGCGGCCGGCAGUGGGCUGUACCGCGCGGGGCGAAGCGAAGCGUUCCCGGAGCCGCUGGAGAGGAGGAGGGAAAGAGGAAAAGUGCAUGCACUGAAGGAUGCCACAAGAGUAUUUAUGCAGCUGUGACUGAAAUACAGCUUAAAAGCCAUGGAAUAGUGUAAGUACCCACUAGGAUGUGCUGUUGGCCUAAAAUUGAAGCCCCGGUAUUUAAGAAACUGAAAUUUCAAAAUUCUUAGGUGUGAUGUAAACAUAAUCCCCAUACUAUUCUCAUUUGAAGAUUUCAGAGAAGACGUACAAUUUAUAGGACUUUUUAAGAAAAAGAAUGUGGUGGUUGAAUGAUAGGCAAAUUUUCUUAUCAUGCAACUAUCCUUAGCAGGCAUACUUGAAGUGAGAGUUUCCUGAAGGAGCGUCACAGCCAUGACCAUAUUCAAUUUCAAUAGCUAACAUUAGAACUCCUACAGCUGGACAUUUCUGUUGGAAGGUGUGGUCUCUGGGAUAAGACCUCCUGUAUACAUCACAUGGGCAAUAUAUGUAACACCUUUACAUACACAAAAAAAUGAAAUAUAUUCUAUAAUGAAUUACUUGUAUUUUUGGUCUUUUUGCCUGUUGUGAAUGCAAACAUAUAUCAAACAGUGUUCAACUAAUAUUUGUGGAUUUAAACUGAUAUAUUGCAUUACUGGAUGUAAAGCAACACUUGUUUAUCAAGAUGUGGAGUUCUGAAAAUUGAUAUGAUGGAAAUAUUUGACGCAUCGUUGCUAAAGCUUGUGGUUUGUCAUUUCAGUAAUAUGGACAUGUUUUAUCAGUUUUGAUACUUCAGCCUGGAAAUGGUUUCCUAUGUAGGAAUUUUCCAGCACUUGCAACUUUAUAGUGGCAAACAUACUCUUAAGUUGUCUGUGUAGAAAGUAGAUUGAUAUGAUGUGCAAGAGAACUUAGGGAAGGGUCUAUACAAACUGUUCUGUUAAACCCAGAAUGUGGUAUGAAGGCCUUCUUAGCUGGCAGUCCUUUCAUGCCAGCAACAGCUCCUGCAGGCACCUAGAAUUCUCAAAUUCCUUCAGCAACAAAGGGAGAAUUUUUUUUUUCUUCUGGAUUUUCCAUCUUAAAAAACAUAGCAGGAGUGUAAAAUCUUAAAGAUUCCUAAAAUACUUCAAUGUCAGUGUAGUACAGACAGUGCUGCCAAUGGUAAUGAUUAAGUGAUCUAAUAAGCCUUUUCUUCAAUUUGACUGAUUGUCUACCUGAUGCAUCAGGCUGGCAUAAUAUUAAAUAUAGUCUUUCCAGUCAUUCCUUUCUAACACCAGACAAAAGCUGAGUUUUACAGUUUUGGUCAUGUUUUCUCAGUUCUUUACCCAUCAGUGUUGCUAAUACCAGUCUACCAGAACUGAAAGGUAGUGCUGCAAAGUUUUGUGUAUACUUUGAAAAAUCUCCAAUCUACAACAUAAACCACUUUAAAAGAAAAAGGCCUUCAUCAAUUAAAACAUGUCAACAUCACAACUCUUCCUUCUGAAGAGUAAGAAUUUUUUUCUCAUUUCUUCUGAGAGCCAUGAACUAAGUUCUACUCUGAGAGCCAGGAAUUCUUCCAUUCUCAUUCUGGUACUGAGUCCGUUGUAGCCUAUGGCAAUUUAUCACUUUUUUUUUCUGUAUGUAAAAUGGAGAUAUUUGCUCAGGGGCAAUAUGAAGAUUAAUUACUCAAUAUUUAUAAAUCGUUCUGAAAAUCAGCAUUAUGCAGAUAUUAUGAUUAUUUCUGAGCUGUGGGUUCUAAUCUGGGAUGAGGCCCAGAAAAGGACAUAAACAACUGAUGCUCAAGUCAGGUGGAAUUUAGAUGCCCUGGGUCAAAAUUGCCAUCCUAAAAAUGUUUACACAUCUUCCAUGAAACCCUGGAGGUUCAUAAGGUUGAGUGGAAGCUCAGACAUUUUUUAUUAUGAGGUGCGUUAUAUACUCCAGCAGUGCUCAUUCAUGCUCUCAAAGGUACUUAAGUUCUAAUAGGACUGAGCAGCCUUGUAAUUAACUCAGGCUAAUGCCUAGUAGGUGUCCAGAAAUGAGGCAUUCCUCUGCAUGUCUCCCUGUAGAGUUCAAUCCAGUAGGUGAGCUCUGAAAAUGCUGGCCCCACAGUGGAAAAAUGUUUCCCUUCAGACUGAAGCUCAGUGCUUAGUACAGACAGAAAUAUGGAUGAGGUCCAGGUUCAAUUCCCUUGUCUGUCUCAAAGGAUCCAACCCCUCCUUUGGAUCAUGCUUUAGUCAGCAGGCAGAAGAUGUUUUAGAACAUAGGAAUGGUUCUCUUCUCCUCUUCAAUUCCACUUUCCAAAGAAAAUGCUCGCUAUGUGCUGUCAGCAUUUAAGUCUUGCAGUUAUGGCACAUGGGUGAAAAAGAGGAAUUAUUAUGAAAUUUUACAGAAACACUGUAUUUUUUAUACAGAAAAUAGAGAAAUAUUCAGUUCUGGAGAAGUACAAAAAUAGUUGUAGGAGCUGGGACUAGAACCUAGUGCUCUUCAGUGAGUGCCUGCUCUCUGUACCACAUGAUGACUUUGUGGGUGCACCAAAUGCAAAAAAUGUCCUCCAUUUUCUGUAUAAAUACCCUAAACUCUGGAUUCAAUUAUGCAGGCCAGGAACAUGAAAAUCAGAUGGUGUGGAACUUGGCUGUGCAGUGCUUUGUCUUCCUCCAGAUCUGUCCCAGGUUCAGUCAUAGGGAUCUGUCAAAUAUAUAAGGAACAGGCUCUUCCUCCCUUUCUCUCUUGCCUUGUUUCUCUGUUUCUCUCCAGGGUUGUGGUCGGUCGGGCCUUAAAAUGAGCAGACAAGAAACAUAGUCUGAGCCUGACCUUUUUCUCCAGAAGUCAAAGGCAAAAGUCCUUGUGAUGUUCAUUAAAUUAGAAUUGAGCUCCAAGUAUUAAUGGAAGAAGAUUUUUGGAAAAGUUUCCUGUAUAGUACCCAUUACAUAAAACUCCUGCAUUUCUGCUCUGAUUUCUCUAAACUGCUAUUCCCACCAAGUCAAUGCCUGCCUCAACACUUUAAAACAACUUAAUUAGAAAGCAAUUUUAUAGUGAUUUAAACUCAAAUGCUCUGAGAUGUGGUCUGUUAAGUGACUGAAAAGCCGGGUAAAAAGGAAGAAAAGAAAAAUAAAUAGGCUUUUCUUUCAAGAAUACAUGCACAGUUGUGCUUUUAUCCUUGCAAGGAUAUGUUUAGCAAACAUUUGUAACAGCUUGUGUCUGUG
rnacentral:lncRNA from 13 species